rnacentral:rRNA from 1 species
GUGGUAAUGCCGGAUGCUCCAUCACACCGCAUGGUGUGUUGGGAAAGCCUUUGCGGCAUGGGAUGGGGUCGCGUCCUAUCAGCUUGAUGGCGGGGUAACGGCCCACCAUGGCUUCGACGGGUAGCCGGCCUGAGAGGGCGACCGGCCACAUUGGGACUGAGAUACGGCCCAGACUCCUACGGGAGGCAGCAGUGGGGAAUAUUGCACAAUGGGCGCAAGCCUGAUGCAGCGACGCCGCGUGAGGGAUGGAGGCCUUCGGGUUGUAAACCUCUUUUGUUAGGGAGCAAGGCAUUUUGUGUUGAGUGUACCUUUCGAAUAAGCACCGGCUAACUACGUGCCAGCAGCCGCGGUAAUACGUAGGGUGCAAGCGUUAUCCGGAAUUAUUGGGCGUAAAGGGCUCGUAGGCGGUUCGUCGCGUCCGGUGUGAAAGUCCAUCGCUUAACGGUGGAUCCGCGCCGGGUACGGGCGGGCUUGAGUGCGGUAGGGGAGACUGGAAUUCCCGGUGUAACGGUGGAAUGUGUAG